GCUUUGGCGAAGACGAAGAAUAGUAGCACAUACUGGACGUUAUAGAGAGCUGGUGGCAGCUGGAAACCAGUACGUCGGUUGUGUGAAUGGACUUCUGAGCCCCAAACCGAACUUUACGGAACAGUAGGCUUUGGCGGAUGACCCAACGUUAAAAGGGCAGGUACAGACUUUGGUCUGUACGUCAGAGUGGCUGUUUUCUUAAAUAGCUAAAAAGGUGGUACCACGGGUUUCCUCGUCCUUUAU
rnacentral:ncRNA from 1 species